UUUAUACGAGAUCUAAAUACGGAGGCCCUAAGUAUGGUACAAACAAUUUGCAUAAAACAAAUGGACGGUUCAUCAUGAGAAUGCUACUUGUUAUCAAAACCGUUAAUUGGUUUAACACGUAUGGAUGACUAAACGAUCUUUAAAUUGAAGGAUUUUUUGUAGAUAUGAUAUUUAGAUGAUGAUAAAGAGUAUAAACGGUUCUAAAUAUGAUGUUUUGAUGGUAAAUGUUUGUUAAUUGUAAGUGGGGGACAAGUAAGUCUCACCACAAGGAACAAAAGCAUUAUCCUUAUGAAUUUUCUCUUAAUCUCACAAAAUUACAACAAAGGUUUGGUGAUGGUAAACUCGUACGUAGUACUUUAUUUUCUCCACAUUGGCGAAAUUUAUAGAAGAACCAAAGUACAAUAUAAAUAUAAUUAGGAAACAAAUCUAAACAAUAACCUAGAAUACAAGUAAGAUCAGUACUAAGAAAUCAAUCAAAACCAGUUUAACCCACAAGAACAAGAAAAUCGAGACCUUAAAAGACUCAAAGACUCAAAGGUUUUGUAUGAAAUACCCUGGGUUGAUUCUCCUUCGGUAUAGUAAUUAUAACCUGAUGUUGUCUCAAUUAUUUAAAUUUGUGCUCACUUUAAAUCAUCUAUUCUGAUCACUCGUUAUUUUACUAACAAAAGUGUCCAUAUUUUAAAACCCGGACCCGUUUGAGUGGGUCUGACUUAGCUUUUGAGUUGGAUGGAUGGUAAUGUUUAAACUUUAAGGUGUUUGUGAGGGGGUUUUGGUGGAGGUAAUGGAAGAGGAGGUGGGUGAUCGUACCGUCCAGCGCAGGCUUUAGGGGGCCUCAACGCACGCGCAUGGCCUAAGAAAUUUUACAUAAACAAAUAAGAUGAUGUGGUGCCUGUUUCUUUAGGGUAAAUAAUCAUGCACGUACUGUCUGUUUACUCCUUUUUUUAUGUCUUUGAGUAUUUGAUCAUUCCUUAAGGGUGCAUUUGGUACGCGGGACGGGACUUGACGGAACGGGACGAGGCGUUCCGUUCCGCGUUUGGUGCGCCAAAAAUAGGUGGAACGGGCUGUUCCACGGGACAGAUUUUGGGUGUUUUUGCGUUCCACCUCCCCCCUUGGAACGGGUUUGUUCCACGUAUGUGAAACACAAUAUUUUACCAUUUUAAGACAAAUAUACCUCAUGUCUUUUUCAAAAAUUACACAUUCGUUCCGUCCCGUCCCGUCUGCGUACCAAACGCACCCCGUUCCGUCCCGUCCCGUCCCGUCUGCGUACCAAACGCACCCUAAAAGUUUUGGUUAACCAACUCACUCCACUAUUAGCUUCACCUUACAUCGGUCCAAAUCUGCAGGGCCCAGCCUGUGAUAACGUCAUUU
rnacentral:lncRNA from 1 species